rnacentral:lncRNA from 1 species
GAGCAGGGUGACAGGAUGAGAAUUCCCCUGGCUUUGCUGUGGCAGCUGCUGCCCGGGCUGCACACCCAGCUGAGGAAGCAGACCAGGAAAGGGUGCUCAGAGUAGUUCCUGCAGCUGAAGAAAGAGCCUACACCAAACCCAGGACUUGCCUGUGGGUCACCACACUGCUUUUGGAGGAGAUUUUUAAGGAGUUGUGAGACUUCGGACUCAAAGCAUUAUAUCAUGGUGAAAAAAGGCAAAACUUCUCAUCAGACAACCAGAAUUUGCAGUUUCCAUCUGCCCCAAGCUGAACUUUGGGCUAGAGGAGUAGCUGCAGGCUGCUGAUGUCCUAAGAAGCACAGGGUUUGGGGUCUAUCUGUGCCGCAGCACCAAGAGUUCAUUUAUCUCUCUCUGGGGGACCACCUAUUCUCAGGCAGCAAAGGGCAGCAGCCCUGCAGGGCUCUUGCCAGCCCUUAGAGCCCCUAAUUGUCCUCAGCUGGGCCUGCCUACUGCUAUUUAAGCUCCAGCUGAGGAGCAUUUCCUGUUAUUGCUUCUUCUGCUUGGCUGCUGGGGGAACUGGGCUUCAUCUUUGA